AAGAUUACAUUGCCAAUCGAAGACUGACUAGAAAAGGCAAUCCAAAUUCAAGUCAAUUUUGAGAUAAGAAGAACAUAGACUGGAAGAGCACUAGUAAAUUGCCCUGCAUGUUCUUCAGCGAGCUUGCAUAGAUGUUACUGAGGGGGAAUACAGCUUCAGCAAAAGGAAUUCAGGCAAAGGGAGCGAACAAAGGUGUCUACCCCAAAAUUCCACCACUGGGCCGGGUGAACUGCUUGUUGUAAUAGGUAACUGCAACAAGUGUGACUCUUGUCAAGGAAAACCAAAUCAGCAGUGCCAGUCCAAGUUUGUCUUGGUUUUGCCACCAAGUAGGCUAAGCUUAAGAUGGUAGCAGAAGAAGAGGAAAGUGCCAUGAAACCUAUCUGGAAUGAAGCCAGUGAUUCUGAGGAUGAUCAGUGUGGUAUGCAGAAAGUUUGGGGAAUGAUUCUCUAAAGAGUUAAAUUACUAUCUAAAAAGUGUCAAUUGUCCUUUCAAACUGUAUAUUCAAAAAUGAAUCUGUUCUACAAA